CGAGCACGCGCGUGUGGCAUAUCAAUAAGCGGAGGAAAAGAAACUAACAAGGAUUCCCUUAGUAACGGCGAGUGAAGCGGGAAGAGCUCAAAUUUGAAAUCUUCAAGGUUCUACCUUGACGAAUUGUAGUUUAUAGAAGUGUUUUCUGUUAGUGGAGUGGCAAAAGUUCUUUGGAAUAGGACAUCAUAGAGGGUGAGAAUCCCGUAUUUGGUCAUUCCUCCUAGCGUUGUGAUACACUUUCAACGAGUCGGAUUGUUUGGGAAUGCAGUCCAAAAUGGGUGGUAAAUUUCAUCUAAAGCUAAAUAUUGGCGAGAGGACCGAUAGCGAACAAGUACCGUGAGGGAAAGAUGAAAAGAACUUUGAAAAGAGAGUUAAACAGUACGUGAAAUUGUCAAAAGGGAAGCGUUUGACACCAGUGUUGUUUUUCCGAAAAUCAAUUACUGAAUGGUUUGAUUUUGAAGUUUCAUGACCUUCAUACGCUUGCUCCUUAUCUUUACUGUACUUUCGUAAUGCACUUUUCGGUUAACAAGUCAACAUCAAUUUCUUUUGUUGUAAAGGAGUCAUGAGGAAGGUGGCUUUCAUUUCGGUAGAAAGUGUUUAUAGCCUUGUACCUCUGCAAUCGGAGAGAUUGAGGUCUGCAGCGUAGAUCCUUCGGGGCUAGAUACAUUUGUGCUAAGUUAUAGCUUUUCAUAGACAACUUGUUGACUAUGUUUAGUCUUGUAGCUUACUCGCUUAUGCUAUUUUACCUACGCUUAGGAUGUUGAUGUGAUACUGCGAGCA
rnacentral:rRNA from 1 species